rnacentral:misc_RNA from 1 species
CCGAGUCACAAGUCGGCCGACCGUGCUGGCACACACGCACGUGCACGUCGGUCGCAAACUCAUCCACACACCUGUGAACGUAUGGCCUUCGGGUCUCUGACCUGGGGGCAAACCUUUUUUACCCACUCUGUUUGUAAAGGAAUGUCGUAUUGUGCGAAAUGCAUAAAUGAAA